rnacentral:rRNA from 1 species
UACAGAGGGUGCAAGCGUUGUUCGGAAUUAUUGGGCGUAAAGAGUUCGUAGGCGGUUUGUUAAGUCUGAUGUUAAAGAUCGGGGCCCAACCCUGGGAGUGCAUUGGAUACUGGCAGACUGGAGUGCAGUAGAGGCAAGUGGAAUUCCCAGUGUAGCGGUGAGAUGCGUAGAUAUUGGGAAGAACACCGGUGGCGCAGGCGACUUGCUGGGCUGUAACUGACGCUGAGGAACGAAA